UGGGGGUUAAGGUUAAGCCAGGGACGGGAAGGGCAGGAAAGGAAAGCAGAGCGACGACCGACCGACCGACCGACCAAUUUCUGCAAAUCUGAGUGAGAGAUGGGGAAGCCCUUAGGACCCACCGGCGAGUUUUUCCGACGAAGGGAUGAGUGGAGGAAACAUCCCAUGCUCACUAAUCAGUUCCGGCAGGCCACUCCUGGCCUCGGAAUAGCCCUCGUGGCCUUCGGCAUCUACGUCGUUGGUGAAAUGGCCUACAACAAGAUCUAUGCUCCACCUCCUCCCUCUCACUCUUCUUCUCACCCUCACUGAUGAUAUCCAUCACAGGCGCUGCGGUGAAGAAUGAUGAUGAUAAUGAUGCAGAUUGUUUCUUGUUUACUUUGAUGUUUAUCUCUUGAAUAAAUAGACAAGGAUUUUGUGGAAUUGUAACAAAACACUAUAAUUGUUGUUUUAUGAUGCCAAUCUUAUGUUUGUUGUUGUGUUACCACUCACGUAAAGUUUUUAAUUAUCGGUAAUUUUCCAGAAGAGUCUUGUGGUUGAUGCAAAGUAAGGUCAUGUGUAGUCAUAAAGCCCUUUUGUGGGCGUUAUGCGACACGU
rnacentral:lncRNA from 1 species